AACGCGAAGAACCUUACCUAGGCUUGACAUGCAGGAGAAACGCCCCAGAAACGGGGCGCCCUGGAGUCUGCACAGGUGCUGCAUGGCUGGAGCGUGGUGAGAUGUUGGGUUAAGCCGCAACGAGCGCAACCCGCUAUGUUGCCAGCGGAUAAUGCCGGGGACAUAGGAGACUGCCGGGGAACGGAGGAAGGUGGGGACGACGAAGAAUGCCCCUUAUGCAGGGCUACGCAUGCUACAAUGGCCGGUACAAAGGGUUGCGAUGCCGUGAGGUGGAGCGAACCAAAAAGCCGGAGUGGAGGGGUGCAACU
rnacentral:rRNA from 1 species